rnacentral:rRNA from 1 species
CCUACGGGUGGCAGCAGUGAGGAAUAUUGGUCAAUGGACGAGAGUCUGAACCAGCCGAGUAGCGUGAAGGAUGACUGCCCUAUGGGUUGUAAACUUCUUUUAUAUGGGAAUAAAAUGUUCCACGUGUGGGAUUUUGUAUGUACAAUAUGAAUAAGGAUCGGCUAACUCCGUGCCAGCAGCCGCGGUAAUACGGAGGAUCCGAGAGUUAUCCGGAUUUAUUGGGUUUAAAGGGAGCGUAGGUGGAUUGUUAAGUCAGUUGUGAAAGUUUGCGGCUCAACCGUAAAAUUGCAGUUGAAACUGGCAGUCUUGAGUACAGUAGAGGUGGGCGGAAUUCGUGGUGUAGCGGUGAAAUGCUUAGAUAUCACGAAGAACUCCUAUUGCGAAGGCAGUUCACUGGACUGCAACUGACACUGAGGCUCGAAAGUGUGGGUAUCAAACAGGAUUAGAUACCCCGGUAGUC